GAUUUGAAAGUUUUGUUAUUGCAACUGCUAUAUGUUCAAUUUGUAGUUAUUCACUAUGGCAUCUGCCAAUGACAGUGGUUUAAGCAGCAGCAUUCUUUCUAUGGACUCUUCAAGCUGCAAUCUUGAGAUUGAAAAGCCAUUGUUAUCUGGAGAUAAACCAGACCCAUCCCCAUCGUCAUCAUCAGCAUUAGACCCAAGCCAUAGCACAAAUGGUGCCAUAGGAGUAGCACCAGCACCUGGUGUUACCUCAAUCUGUGACCCAACGUGUGGCGAUGGUGGGUCGGCUGCCAUUGGGGAGCAGUUCCUCAUACUUGCUAAGUCUGCAAAAGGAGCUGCAGCUGUACAACUCAUCAAAGAAGCUCUUGAAGCUCCUGGUCUUUAUGUCUUUGCAGAACUUCUACAAAUGCCAAAUAUUAAAGAGCUGAAUUCAGUGGUUGAAUACAGCUCAUACUACAGACUGGUGGAGGUGUUUGCAUUUGGAGUUUAUGAAGAUUACCUGAAGAGCGAGCCUCCCUUGCCUCCACUCUCCCCUCUUAUGCUCACCAAGCUUCGUCAUCUCACCAUCAUCACCAUGGCAAACUCAGCCAAAACUUUACUUCUUGAUAAUUUAGUUAAGGAACUUUGCUUAAAUAGUCGGAGAGAGUUGGAGGAUUUAAUAAUUGAAGCUAUUUAUGCAGAUGUGCUACAUGGCAAACUGGACCAGAAGAAUGGGGUCUUGGAAGUGGACUUUGCCUUAGGGCGUGAUAUCAAGCCUGAAGAUCUACCUGAUAUUGCUGCUACUCUUAAGGCGUGGUGCAAUAAUUGCAAUGGACUGCUGGGAACUCUCGAGUCGCUUGUGUUGAAAGCCAACAGUCAGAAGGAGCUAAGUAUACAGCAGGCCAACUACAUCGAGUUUGAGGUAAACAAAAUAAAGGCUAAUUUCCUGCGGCAAGCUGGCUCGAGCGGUGACACUGAAGAUGGUGCUUCUCAGAUCGAAGGUCUCAGAGAUUUCGAGAAGAAACUCCACAGGCAGAAGAAAGGCACUGGGUCUUCAGGCAUGACUAAGGCGAUUCCUUCUAAAUUCUGGCCUAAAUCUUCGUAGCGUCCUAAGUUCAUCGUGUAUUUAUAGGGCAACGAAUAAAAAAUAUUCUUGUAGGAGUGAAGUGGACAGGUGUUUUCACAGUAGAUUUCAGCUCCUCAAAAAACGUAAUAAACAUGCGGUUUAAUUAUUCUACGUAUAUGAAUUGAAUUAAUUAAUGUGACUCUUUGGAAGCAAAGCUCUGUUUUCUUGUGAGAUCAGUUUAUAAACGCCAUUUUAGUCUUUCUGACGAAUAUUUCCUGGCCAAACCCAAACAAUUAUCAUUUAUUUCCUUUUGCUAUGCUUACACUAAAGCUCACAAUCAACGCAAAUAAGCUUUCCAUCUACAAGUCAAAAUGAAAAUCUCUACAAUAUUUUCCAACAGCAUAACCUCCGAAACCAUAUAUUAACACGCUUGGCGUGGUUAAAUUUAUUAUAAACGUAACACUUGCCUAGUUACUCAAUUUUACGUCUGAAUCUCCAAGAUAGAACUUUGUCUGAAUUUUCACCAUUUUUUUUGGGGAGGGGGGGGGGUGUGUUUUGUGAGAUAAAAACAAGAAGCUGGUCGUCCCGUUAACUAUAAAGACGAACAAUUCCUUGUCCCGUCAGUUAUUCCUCGUGUAUCAAUUUUUCAUUUCGCUUUAAUGACUCACAUCUACCCCAGUGAAUUAACACGAGGCCUGCUUGGCCAUCUUUUUGGCUUUCGAUUCCUUUGGCAACGUUGAUAUUCUGAGGAUCCUAAACUAUUUUGCGUAUAGGUAUCUGCGAUGUUUUUGGAAAUUAAAUUCUAUGAGCAGCGAGGUCCCUGUCUCCAUCUUCAGCGGAGAACACUUCAGGAUAUAUCGUUUUAUGGUAAA
rnacentral:misc_RNA from 1 species